rnacentral:rRNA from 1 species
GAUGAACGCUGGCGGCGUGCCUAAUACAUGCAAGUCGAGCGAACGGACGAGAAGCUUGCUUCUCUGAUGUUAGCGGCGGACGGGUGAGUAACACGUGGAUAACCUACCUAUAAGACUGGGAUAACUUCGGGAAACCGGAGCUAAUACCGGAUAAUAUUUUGAACCGCAUGGUUCAAAAGUGAAAGACGGUCUUGCUGUCACUUAUAGAUGGAUCCGCGCUGCAUUAGCUAGUUGGUAAGGUAACGGCUUACCAAGGCAACGAUGCAUAGCCGACCUGAGAGGGUGAUCGGCCACACUGGAACUGAGACACGGUCCAGACUCCUACGGGAGGCAGCAGUAGGGAAUCUUCCGCAAUGGGCGAAAGCCUGACGGAGCAACGCCGCGCGAGUGAUGAAGGUCUUCGGAUCGUAAAACUCUGUUAUCAGGGAAGAACAUAUGUGUAAGUAACUGUGCACAUCUUGACGGUACCUAAUCAGAAAGCCACGGCUAACUACGUG